CCUGACCUCAAGUGAUCAACCCACCUCGGCCCCCCAAAGUGCUGGGAUUACAGACAUGAGCCACCACGCCCAGACCCUUGCUUUACUUUCAUUUGGCAUAUGGUUUUUUCCACAGUGAUGACCAACAAAUGAAACUGUGCACCUUUGAAAGAGACUCUGCAGUUACAUUUCAGCUCUAAUAUCCCACACACAGGUAUCCUUGCAUCCUGUGAGGGGGAGGAGGUGCAGGCACUAAGCAGAUUCCUGGAAAUCAAUGGCCAGAGGCGAUGUUUUCAGAGAGGCCUUCAUCCUUCUCCUAACAUUGCUUUGGUCUCCAGGCCCAUGCACUGCUAAGAUCCCAAGAUUCAGACUGGGGGAUGGGAGUUGAGGAGAUGCCACCUUUAGGCUGAGCUGGGAGCUUCUGUCCACCUUUAUCAGACUUGAUCAGACUGUGCACCCUGGGGUAUCACCCUCUGCUUCAAUUAACACAAUGACUUCCCACCUUCGCAUCCUCCUCCUUCAAGGGGGACUUGGCUCGGUCAAUUAUUUCCUUCACCUUUUGCAUGUUCAGUGUUUUCCUUUCUUCCCGAGGCUUCCCCUCUGUGGACCAACAUGUUCCUCCAUGGCAAAAACAAAAACAACCAGCCCAAACCAGUUCUUUCUGCCCUCCUGCCCUCUGCAGGUCAGCGCUGCCUCCUCCCUCCCUUUCAUGGCAUUGAAUGGUGAGAGUGCAAUACCCUCAGUGGCGCCUAACAGUCAGCAGUGAGCGCUCAGGACCGUCACCCACCUCUGCGGCCGAUGACCCUCUCUUUGGCUCUGGCCCCAGCCGGCCUUGCGCUGUUCCUUCUCACGGUUUUUCCUGGCUCAUCUUCGUGCCCCCUCCCCUGAGGGUCCUGGAGGUCUGAGCCCUCUGGCCGCCUCUCCUCUCUCCUUGCACUCCUCCUCUCAUGGAGCGACCCCGUCUGUGCCACCUUCUCACCUUCCAUGUCACACACCUUCAGCCUUCACUGAGGAGAGAGCAGGGCUGCAGCAUCGUGUUCCAGUCUCAUCCCUCACGGAGCCGAGAACUAAAAAUUGAAACAGAGAAACCUCCUGACAAGGCCGCUGGCAAGUUCAAUGGGAACAACUCAGGUUUUCAGAAAGAAGUAUGAUCCCUGGAGCCAGCGGGUUCAAAAGAACGAAGAGAUUUAUCAAGAAUGAGACAUACCAGACCAGCUGCGUUGCUUUCCAUUGACAGGAAGCAAAUCAGCUGCUCAGGAAAAGGUCAAGCAUGGCACCUGGUCUCAGAGAGGUGUCCGUCAAAGGCUGUCAUAACAGCCCUAUGGACAAGAAGGAGACCUGGGCCAGGUGAGAAUGAUGCAAAACCAUUUGUCCCAAGGAGUUGUGGAUGGGACUUAGGGAAAGGAGGGGCUCCAGAGGCACUGUGACAGUGUCAGAGUGACUACAGGCUCCUCAGGAGAUGUUGAGGGAAAAGAAAGGGCUGGGACGUGCCCUAAGACUUCUGUGCGCAGGCACUGGUCCCCUCUGCUGAUUCAGGGCUCCCCUAAAACAGCCACCCUCAUCACGAGUAUGGUACCAGGCAGUGGCAAAACCUGUUCAACAUCAGCAGGGCCGGGCGCAGUGGCUCAUGCCUGUAAUCCCAGCACUUUGGGAGGGCAAUGCAGGAGGAUCACUUGAGGCCAGGAGUUCGAAACCCCUUCUCUACAAAAAAUACAAAAAUCAGCCAGGCUUGAUGGUGCAUGCCUGUAGUCCCAGCUCCUUGGGAGGCUGAGGUGGGAGUAUUGUUUGAGCCUGAGAGGUUGAGGCUGCAGUAAGCUAUGAUUGCACCACUGCACCAAAGCAAGACCCCAUUUCAAAAAACAACAAACAAACCAAAAACACACCAGCAGGUUCUGACUGCAGCCUCAGAAAGCCCCCGGCUUUCCUGUUCAGCAAGCAGGCGCCCUGCAGAGUGAAGGAUGCUUUCCCAGAGCCACCCUCAAGUGCUGCUGGAGGCCCAGAUUCCUUCAAAUGACCUGGGCAGCCCUGCCGGAAUGCAGUGUGACAACAGAAACAAGUUGGCUGCUUGGGGAAACCAUGCGGGCAUCCCCAGGGUCUGAUUUGGUAACCGCAGAUAUUCUUUGAUAAAUUGUAGAACCAUUAGGCACUGGUCUGGGCAGUAUGUGUAUGGAUGGGGAAUCUGUUUAUGAGAAUAUAAAAUAAAACGUGCAAACACAGGAGAAGUAGAAGAUACAGGUGGCAGGGGUAGAGUGAGAACUGAAGUCAGGACUGGGGAGCUGGAGGAGGAAAUCAGGCCUGAAGAAACUUUGUGGCUGAAGCCAGCAAAUCUUGUAUAUAUAGGAUCUCCAUGAACUGUCCUAAAAUUUCCAAGAGAAGGAGACAUCCGUCAAGUAGAAGACAAAAAGGGAUGCUGACCAGGGAGGCCGGAUGCUGGAUGUGGUCUAGGAGGAAGCCUUGGAAUUUUCUCACUCUGGAUUGUGGAACCACAAAGUCAGCCUGGAGCUGCCUACAUCUGGACACCUAGGCUCCUGUCAGAGCCAGUUUAUUAUUUCCAGUCACUCAUUACUGGGAUUCUCCUCUCCCUGGGGCGUUAUGAAGGCAUGAAGAACAUGACUCCAAGAAUCCGUCCAUCCACCUCCCCAGGCUGCCGAAGACGGGAGCACGGCACACAAGGGAAGGUGAAGGUGAACUUGGUGGCCUUUACCUGAUGACUCUGCUGAUAUUUGAUCCCUGAGGGAAUGAGCCACGGUUCAGCACCCAACCCCCACUUGAACUCUGCAGUUUCCCAGUUUCAUUAAGAAGCCCAUUGUUGAGUCUGGCCAUGCGUCAAGGACACGUGGACUCUUGGGGCAACCCCGUUUCUCCAGCAUCCUCCCAGGUGAUGGGUUGGUGUGGCCAGGAGCCAACAGGAAGGGUGUGGGCCAGAGGGGAGAGGCUUCCUAGCAGCUGGCUGCCCUGGAGCUCCGGGAAGGUUUGACCAUCAGGUUUACUGCACCAGGAAUAUAUCCUUCAGUUUCCCCCAGCCAAUCUGUAGAAUAAGGAGAAAUGGAGAGUGUAGGAAGAUAACUGCAGUGUGGACACAGCCUCAGGUUUCUUCUUCGGUAAAGCUGAUGUUUAUUACACAGGGGCAUAGUAAGUGAAGCAUGCACUUCAUUUUUCAUUUUUCCUAGAAUCCAGUGCUGCUAAAAAAAAAAAAAAAAAGGACAACUGUUUACUCACUGAAGAGCAAAUAUAUACGUUGUUGGAUGAGGAAGAAAAAGUUCCGUUGGGACGGGGCGUGGUGGUUCACACCUGUAAUCCCAGCACUGUGGGAGGCUGAGACAGGAGGAUUGCUUGAGCCCAA